rnacentral:rRNA from 1 species
CGCGUAGGCGGUCUGGUAAGUCCCGUGUGAAAUCCCUCGGCUCAACUGAGGAAUGGCACGGGAAACUGCUUGGCUUGAGUUCGGGAGAGGGAAGCGGAAUUCCGGGUGUAGCGGUGAAAUGCGUAGAUAUCCGGAGGAACACCGGUGGCGAAGGCGGCUUCCUGGACCGACACUGACGCUGAGGCGCGAAAGCUAGGGGAAGCAAACG